CGGAGUAACGCGUGAGGAACCUGCCUCAAAGAGGGGGACAACAGUUGGAAACGGCUGCUAAUACCGCAUAAGCCCACGGCUCGGCAUCGAGCAGAGGGAAAAGGAGCAAUCCGCUUUGAGAUGGCCUCGCGUCCGAUUAGCUAGUUGGUGAGGUAAUGGCCCACCAAGGCGACGAUCGGUAGCCGGACUGAGAGGUUGAACGGCCACAUUGGGACUGAGACACGGCCCAG
rnacentral:rRNA from 1 species